GCUGCGGUGUCUGCGGGCGGCUCGUCAGGCGUAGCCGCCGGGAGGGCAGCGGGAGCCGCCCCGGCUCCCAGCUUGGCGUCCGUCACGCUCCUGACUGCGGGGUUUUUGCCCUAAAGGGGGCUGCAUUCGUGCUCCCUGAGGGCCGAGGAGAGGUCUGCGGGGAAGCCGUGGCUGCUCUGCCUGGAAACAAAAGGGUGCCCCCACCUCCGGGCAGCCCCCUGGCUUGGCGUGUCUGCCCGCCGCGUGCUCGGCCUCCCUCAGCCCCAGUGCCCUUACACAGCACGGCAGUGCUGUAGUCUUAAAUUGGAUUAGCUGUUUAUGGCCCAAAUGGCAUAGUUGUAAUUAAUUAGGGUGAUAAAUAAACCGUACUUUUUUUUUUUUUGAUGCCGGAUGACAAAUGAAAUUUUCCUCCGCUGUCUCGCACUGCGGUUUGUCUCCAGCUGCUGCAUACUUUUGGGAUAUUCCUUUCAACUCUUUCCUUCCCCUCAAAUUCCUCUCAGCUCCGAAGUGCUGUUGGCGGAGCAGGGAUGCAUGUUGGUAGCUUGGGAGGGCUCUUCGCGAGCACUUUGACUUGCGGUCCCUGAAAGAAGCAAUUUAAUUAAAAAGUGCUCAUUCCUCGUUUUGUGUUUUAUUGCUUGCUCACUUCUUUGUUUGUUUGUUUCCUCCUUUGUUGCUUUGUUCCUUCUUUGUUGCUUUUAAUUCGGUUCGUUCCUCAGUAUUGUGGUGGAAUUCUGCAGAUGUCUUGUGAGCUUUUGUCUGCUUUCCUCUUUGACCUGCUCCAACCCUCUGAGCCCUAUAAUGCAUUAUAAUUAUCAGACACAAAAUAUUUGCAUUAUUAGUCCUUCGCAGAUCGUUCUGUGCUCAUACCUGCUUUUCCAGGAGGCACAGGAAAAACUGCGUUUUGUCUUCCCUGCACUGGACUGGACUGGAUUCAGCAAGCGGAGACACUCAACUCUAAGGCAUAGACCACAUUUUCUACUGGAAUAAAGCAACUGCAAUGGGAAAAAAUGUAUUCUCCUAGUUCCAUGUGUUAUCAUUAAAAUGAGUGCUCUGUCUUUAUAACCCAGGUAUGUUGUAGUUGCUUCUGUGGUGAGGUCCUUUUGGACCUCAGAUUCCUUUUGAAAUUUCUUUUGAGGUGUCAACCAUUUUUUUAAGGUCAGGGUAAUUAUUCCCAGAAAUAAUCUUGUGCAAGUGGGUUUCAUAACAAUUACGUAAGCAUAAAUAUUGUUUAAGGACUUUUAAGUGAUUAUUAAUACUUAUAGCAAUGCCUUUACUUUCAACUUACAGUGGUCAGCUCUUGAAAGCUAAAAUGACUGGGAUUAGUUCUUUUAUAAGUUCUGCAGAAAGAGCUGUUCUGAAGGUAAUGUGACAAAUAGUAGAGGGGUCCUAGAAGUAUCCAUAGAGUUUGCUGCUGGAAUGCUAAGGAGGUAGAGGUAGCAUAUGUAGUUUCACUCUGUAAGAAGUUAGUUUUGGUUACCUCUGCUUGAUUGAAGGGUGUUGUCUUUUUGUGUUUAUUGUCAACAGUGAGGAUAUUAUGGUGUUUCUGGAGUUCUUAAUGCUUAUUCUAAUUGCGAAUCUUAUUUACCCUGGAAUAAACAAGGAAUAGCUCAGAGAGGUGUACCAUGGCAAUAAUAAAUAUGUUUACAAACUAUGAAAGAUAUUGAAAAUAUAGAUUAGAAAUUUGUUUUUAACUGUUCUGGCAUAUUUGAGAUUUUUUGAGCAUCAGUUCCAAGGAUACUUGAAACUGAUUUUUUUUGUCCUAUUGUUAUAGCGGAACUGAUUUAAUUUGAUGAAUAUCAUGAAUUUAAGGCCAGGAGGAAUCUUGAAGGAUAUUCAGUGUCUUAUCAUAGACAUAACUCAAGUUAUUUUGUGAAACUGCAUUUCAAAAAGCGGAGUUAGAGCUUUCUGUGUUACGAAGGUGUGUUUGCUGAUUGGAACAGGACAAGCAUUUUAAUUCAGAGUUGUCACCUAAAUGAACUUGAUUAAAAUCAAAGCUUCCGUAGGAAUAUUAAAUGCAAACAUUGUUUUCUUGUGCUUAUUUGUAGCUGUGAUGACAAAUGCUUUCUACUAAUGACUUUUUUCUUCAAUACUUUGUUCUUUCUGACAUUUGCAGAACAACUGAAGAUACGUGGGACAAUGCACAGUGUAUAUCCUGAUAACAUUUUGUGU
rnacentral:lncRNA from 1 species